rnacentral:rRNA from 1 species
GACGAACGCUGGCGGCGUGCUUAACACAUGCAAGUCGAACGGAAAGGCCCUGCUUUUGUGGGGUGCUCGAGUGGCGAACGGGUGAGUAACACGUGAGUAACCUGCCCUUGACUUUGGGAUAACUUCAGGAAACUGGGGCUAAUACCGGAUAGCAGCUCCUGCUGCAGGGUGGGGGUUGGAAAGUUUCGGCGGUUGGGGAUGGACUCGCGGCUUACCAGCUUGUUGGUGGGGUAGUGGCUUACCAAGGCUUUGACGGGUAGCCGGCAUGAGAGGGUGACCGGCCACAUUGGGACUGAGAUACGGCCCAGACUCCUACGGGAGGCAACAGUGGCGAAUAUUGCACAAUGAGCGGGCGCCUGAUGCAGCAACGCCGCGUGCGGGAUGACGGCCUUCGGGUUGUAAACCGCUUUCGCCUGUGACGAAGCGUGAGUGACGGUAAUGGGUAAAGAAGCACCGGCUAACUACGUG